ACAGGCCCGCGGAGCGGCGCGGGGAACGCUCGGGCGCAGCUGAGCCGGAGGCCGCGGCUGUGCGGCCGACGGGCCCGGCCCGGCCUGGCGCGGAGGGAGUCGUGCGCUAUACAGACGCGGAUGAGAGAGGCGCCGCGGCUUGAGGUUUCUGAUAACGGAUUGUGGCAGCAACAGCAAGAGCUGCACUGAUAGCAACAGAUUACCAUUUAUUGAGUACAUACUAUGAGCCAGGUAAAUUUGAGACCUAAUAAAAAGAGCAUGACUUUUGGAGGCAGAAGACUUAGUUUCAAGUCCCUGUUUCUUCACUUCCUAAUUUUGUGAUUUGGAAAUAUCUAAUGCAAGAUGUUGGCAUUGCAGACUUGGAUAGUGCACGCAUUGUUUAUUUUCUUCACCACUGAAUGUGUAGGUAAGGUUC